UAAGCCCAAGGUCGCUGGUUCGAAUCCAGCCUGAACCAAAAA
rnacentral:tRNA from 1 species